rnacentral:misc_RNA from 1 species
AACGCACAUUGCGCCCGCCGGCAUUCCGGCGGGCAUGCCUGUUCGAGCGUCAUUUCAACCCUCAAGAUCUCCUCUUUAGUGAGUGCAGAACUUGGUGUUGGGGGAUUGCAGCUUUCUCGCAACCCCUGAAAACUAGUGGCGGUUCCGCCCGUGGCAAUCAUUGCGUAGUAGCACAAACAACUCGCAACUGAGGCCCGGCGGUAGUCCUUUGCCGUAAAAACGACAGUGAAGUAGUGGGAUUCUAUUCUUCUACUAAGCUCUCAAUCUUUUUAUGAGUUGACCUCGAAUCAGGUAGGAAUACCCGCUGAACUUAA